rnacentral:rRNA from 1 species
UUCCAGACUCCUACGGGAGGCAGCAGUGGGGAAUAUUGCACAAUGGGCGAAAGCCUGAUGCAGCGACGCCGCGUGAAGGAUGAAGUAUUUCGGUAUGUAAACUUCUAUCAGCAGGGAAGAAAAUGACGGUACCUGACUAAGAAGCCCCGGCUAACUACGUGCCAGCAGCCGCGGUAAUACGUAGGGGGCAAGCGUUAUCCGGAUUUACUGGGUGUAAAGGGAGCGUAGACGGCUGUGCAAGCCAGAUGUGAAAGCCCGGGGCUCAACCCCGGGACUGCAUUUGGAACUGUGUGGCUGGAGUGUCGGAGAGGCAGGCGGAAUUCCUAGUGUAGCGGUGAAAUGCGUAGAUAUUAGGAGGAACACCAGUGGCGAAGGCGGCCUGCUGGACGAUGACUGACGUUGAGGCUCGAAAGCGUGGGGAGCAAACAGGAUUAGAUACCCCAGUAGA